AUUGAACGCUGGCGGCAUGCCUAACACAUGCAAGUCGAACGGUAACAGGCCCUUCGGGGUGCUGACGAGUGGCGGAUGGGUGAGUAAUACUUAGGAAUCUACCCUGUAGUGGGGGACAACCCGGGGAAACUCGGGCUAAUACCGCAUACGCUCUACGGAGGAAAGCGGGGACCGCAAGGCCUCGCGCUAUUGGAUGAGCCUAAGCCCGAUUAGCUAGUUGGUGGGGUAAUAGCCUACCAAGGCAAUGAUCGGUAGCUGGUCUGAGAGGACGACCAGCCACACUGGGACUGAGACACGGCCCAGACUCCUACGGGAGGCAGCAGUGGGGAAUAUUGGACAAUGGGCGAAGCCUGAUCCAGCGAUGCCGCGUGUGUGAAGAAGGCCUGCGGGUUGUAAAGCACUUUCAGUAGGGAAGAAAAU
rnacentral:rRNA from 1 species